rnacentral:tRNA from 1 species
GGGCCGCUAACUCAAGGGUAGAGUAUCUGCCUUUUAAGCAGAGAGUUACAGGUUCGAAUCCUGUGCGGCCCA